GCUGGCGGCAGGCUUAACACAUGCAAGUCGAGCGGUAACAGGGGGUGCUUGCACCCCGCUGACGAGCGGCGGACGGGUGAGUAAUGCAUAGGAAACUGCCCAGUAGUGGGGGAUAGCCCGGGGAAACCCGGAUUAAUACCGCGUACGCCCUUCGGGGGAAAGCAGGGGAUCUUCGGACCUUGCGCUAUUGGAUGUGCCUAUGUCGGAUUAGCUAGUUGGUGGGGUAAAGGCCUACCAAGGCGACGAUCCGUAGCUGGUCUGAGAGGAUGAUCAGCCACAUCGGGACUGAGACACGGCCCGAACUCCUACGGGAGGCAGCAGUGGGGAAUAUUGGACAAUGGGCGAAAGCCUGAUCCAGCCAUCCCGCGUGGAGGAUGACUGCCCUACGGGUUGUAAACUCCUUUUAUAUGAGAAGAAACGCCUGGAUUUAUCCGGGCCUGACGGUAUCUUAUGAAUAAGCACCGGCUAACUCCGUGCCAGCAGCCGCGGUAAUACGGAGGGUGCGAGCGUUAAUCGGAAUUACUGGGCGUAAAGCGCACGCAGGCGGUUUGUUAAGCUAGAUGUGAAAGCCCCGGGCUCAACCUGGGAUGGUCAUUUAGAACUGGCAGACUAGAGUCUUGGAGAGGGGAGUGGAAUUCCAGGUGUAGCGGUGAAAUGCGUAGAUAUCUGGAGGAACAUCAGUGGCGAAGGCGACUCCCUGGCCAAAGACUGACGCUCAUGUGCGAAAGUGUGGGUAGCGAACAGGAUUAGAUACCCUGGUAGUCCACACCGUAAACGCUGUCUACUAGCUGUGUGUGCCUUUAAGGCGUGCGUAGCGAAGCUAACGCGCUAAGUAGACCGCCUGGGGAGUACGGCCGCAAGGUUAAAACUCAAAUGAAUUGACGGGGGCCCGCACAAGCGGUGGAGCAUGUGGUUUAAUU
rnacentral:rRNA from 1 species